rnacentral:lncRNA from 1 species
AGAGAAAUGUUUCGCGCACGAGCAUCACUGUCGAAGCACAAGAGCAACUGACUAACACACACACAUACACACAGACAUAUACAUACAUAAACCCACUAACGUACGUGAUGGUUCCCCCUCAAGGCUCAGUCCAAUAUCGUCGUUCGUCGAGCUCACACAUUUUACCUCGAACUAACGUCAAGAAUUUGAAAAGAGAGAGAAGAAGAAGAAGAAGGAAGGUGAAGAAGAA